rnacentral:lncRNA from 1 species
GAUCUCCAUCGAUCCUCUGUUUUCUUCAGUCAUUAGAGACUAGGAGAAUUAUUUAUAAGAGGAUUUUAUAUAUAUUAAAGAGAGGAACAGAGGUAUUAGCACUUAGCAGGUUCGUAAUAGUUGUCUUUAGUGUUAUCAAAAUAGUUGAAUUUUUGAUGAUUAUGAAAUCAGCAGGGUUUGUUUUUGUAUUAUGUGUAGCAAAAUUCAGACACGACCACGGACUGAGUCACCUCAUCCCUCAGGAUACUUACAUAUAACAGGUAUAUUUCAACUUUUCAAACUUUUAUUUUAAAAAAUUAAAAUUAAGAACAAUUGAUUUUGAUAUAAAAAUAUACAUUAAAAAAAAGAUUUUAUGUUUUUCAUUUCUAUUUUCCUGAUUUACAACUAAAUAUUAAGGUUUUUAAAAGCAAACUUCAAGUAAAAGUAGUUUUGAUUUUUAAUAAAUCAAAAUGAUCAUUUUUUUGGGGUUAAAUCUAUGUGUUAAUUUUAAUACGUUGAAAACAAACUGGGCCGAGCAUCCAGUCCCUUUGUGGUCCGUUAGUGGUGUAUAAGUUCAACAUGUUAUCACGUAUUGUAAAAAAUUUAACGCUUAGGUUUUAAGGUUUUUUAUAAUUUAAGUAAAGUUAUAAAUUUGAUUUUUAACAACAACAUACAAGAUGUUUUUAUUUUUUAAAAAUGUAAGUGUUAAAUUUAAAUGAAAACAAACCGGACCUAGCAUCGAACUCUCUUUAUGGUCCAUACUGAUUUGUGUUAUUCAAUGGGAGUUGUCGAUGUUUUCCAAGCUACAUACUUAUAUAAUUAUUUAUUGGCGCCGGAUAUUUUAAGUUUACAGAAUAUUUCCAUUAUUUCCAUAUUUAAAGUCCAACUUAACUUCUUUUAUUUGAUCAUCUUCAAUAAUUAGCAAAGGUAAUAAUUAUAAGAAAAAAAGUUAUUCCAAAUUUACCAAAAUCAAGAAUAAAACAAAUAAACUUAAAAUAUAUAACUGAUUUAAAAGAUGAAGUAAGGUUAGACAAUGCUAUAGAAAUUUUGUAUCUAGCUUUCUAAAUAAGCACAAAGAGGAAAGAAAAAUUAUAUGAUGAUGAAUAACACGAAGCACAAAGAUUAGUAUUCAAAUAACAUUUUGUAAACAUGUUACAAUUUUGUAGAUAUAAUUUAUAACUAUAGUUUUCCCGUCCAAUUAAAGUAUCACUUUUUAUAUCGAUCGUUUUCAAACUAACUGUUAGGAAUAUUCACUCAUUCUGUUAGUAAAUACGUUGAAGUUUCUCUACAUAUAUCUUGUUCAUAUUUACCAAAGAGAAACAUAGAUGAGUCAUAGACUAUAUAAAGACAUCAACAUGAUAUAUUUAGAGAUACCACUAUACCAUAAGUGAUACGUAGCGUAAGUAGGCUUAGUUUUAAUUGGUAGAACAUGUUAUAGCAUACAUCACAUGAAUGUCUUGACUCUAUCAUCAUAUCUUUGGCCAAGACUGAAAUGGCCAUCGGAAGAUUUUUAAAGUCUUAUGUGUUAGUUGUUGGCAGGCGAGGGAAAAAGAAAACUCAAGGAGUUAUCGUAUAGAUUUUUACCUCUGCAAAUGGAGUUAUCUUGAAAACGUUUAAAAGAUUU